CCUACGGUGGACAGCAGUGAGGAAUAUUGGUCAAUGGACGCAAGUCUGAACCAGCCAUGCCGCGUGCAGGAAGACGGCUCUAUGAGUUGUAAACUGCUUUUGUACGAGGGUAAACGCAGAUACGCGUAUCUGUCUGAAAGUAUCGUACGAAUAAGGAUCGGCUAACUCCGUGCCAGCAGCCGCGGUAAUACGGAGGAUUCAAGCGUUAUCCGGAUUUAUUGGGUUUAAAGGGUGCGUAGGCGGUCGGAUAAGUUAGGGGUGAAAUCCCGAGGCUCAACUUCGGAAUUGCCUCUGAUACUGUUCGGCUAGAGAGUAGUUGCGGUAGGCGGAAUGUAUGGUGUAGCGGUGAAAUGCUUAGAGAUCAUACAGAACACCGAUUGCGAAGGCAGCUUACCAAGCUACUUCUGACGUUGAGGCACGAAAGCGUGGGGAGCAAACAGGAUUAGAUACCCCAGUAGUC
rnacentral:rRNA from 1 species